ensembl:lncRNA
GUAGGAGCUGGAUGUAGGAUGUAGGAGCUGGAUGUAGGGAUGUAGGAGCUGGAUGUAGGAUGUAGGAGCUGGAUGUAGGAUGUAGGAGCUGGAUGUUGCAGCUGGAUUUUGGAGCUGGAUGUAGGAGCCGGUUGUUGGAGCCGGAUGUUGGAUAUUGGAGCUGGAUUUUGGAGCCGGAUGUUGGAUGUUGGAGCUGGAUGUUGGAUGUUGGAGCUGGAUGUUGGAGCCGGAUGUAGGAGCCGGAUGUAGGAGCUGGAUGUAGGAUGUUGGAGCUGGAUGUUGGAGCCGGAUGUAGGAGCCGGUUGUUGGAGCCGGAUGUAGGAGCCAGUUGUUGGAGCCGGAUGUUGGAUGUUGGAGCCGGAUGUAGGAGCCGGAUGUAGGAGCUGGAUGUUGGAUGUUGGAGCUGGAUGUUGGAGCCGGAUGUUGGAGCUGGAUGUUGGAUCUGGAUGUUGGAUGUUGGAGCCGGAUGUAGGAGCCGGAUGUUGGAGCCGGAUGUUGGAUGUAGGAGCCGGAUGUAGGAGCUGGUUGUUGGAGCCGGAUGUUGGAUGUUGGAGCCGGAUGUAGGAGCCGGAUGUAGGAGCCGGAGGUUGGAGCUUCCCCUUUACUAAGUGAUAUCAGCUCAACAUGGCCGCUCACACUGUGAACCGUGUAAAGUUCCCCUUCUCUACUUAGGUGGGAAACCUUUACCACUUACAGAGCACCAUGAAUGCAGCAUGAACCCCCU